GACGAACGCUGGCGGCGUGCUUAACACAUGCAAGUCGAACGCUGAGGCCCUGGUUUUUGUUGGGUUUGCUGAGUCGCGAAUGGGGGAGUAACACGUGAGUCAUGUGCCAUCUUCUUUGGGAUAACGCCCGGAAACGGGAGCUUAUACUGGAUAUUCACUGGCCUUGGAGUGGGGGUUGGUGGGAGGGAUAGGUUUGGCGGGGGGUGGGGGCGGGGCCUAUCAGCUUGUUGGUGGGGUGAUGGCCUACCAAGGCCUUGACGGGUGGCGGGCCUGGGGGGGUGACCGGUCACAUUGGGACUGGGAAACGGCCCAGACUCCUACGGGAGGCGGCGGUGGGGAAAAUUGCCCAAGGGGCGAAAGCCUGAGGCGGCGACGCGGCGUGAGGAAUGGGGGCCUUCGGGUUGUAAACCUCUUUCGCUCAGGGUCAAGCCGCAACUGGGGGUUGUGGUGAGGGUAGUGGGUAAAGAAGCGCCGGCUAACUACGUG
rnacentral:rRNA from 1 species